rnacentral:rRNA from 1 species
ACCAUCCCUUGACAUCCAGUGAAUUUUCCAGAGAUGGAUUAGUGCCUUCGGGAACACUGAGACAGGUGCUGCAUGGCUGUCGUCAGCUCGUGUUGUGAGAUGUUGGGUUAAGUCCCGCAACGAGCGCAACCCUUAUCCUUAGUUGCCAGCACGUAAUGGUGGGAACUCUGGGGAGACUGCCGGUGAUAAACCGGAGGAAGGUGGGGACGACGUCAAGUCAUCAUGGCCCUUACGGGAUGGGCUACACACGUGCUACAAUGGCGCAUACAAAGGGCAGCAAGCCAGCGAUGGUUAGCGAAUCUCAUAAAGUGCGUCGUAGUCCGGAUUGGAGUCUGCAACUCGACUCCAUGAAGUCGGAAUCGCUAGUAAUCGUGGAUCAGAAUGCCACGGUGAAUACGUUCCCGGGCCUUGUACACACCGCCCGUCACACCAUGGGAGUGGGCUGCACCAGAAGUGGUUAGUUUAACCUUCGGGAGAACGAUCACCACGGUGUGGUUCAUGACU